AAUGGGCGAAAGCCUGACCCAGCGAUGCCGCGUGUGUGAAGAAGGCCCUAGGGUUGUAAAGCACUUUCAGUCGUGAAGAAAAGCAUUGGGUUAAUACCCCGACGUGUUGACGUUAACGACAGAAGAAGUACCGGCUAACUCCGUGCCAGCAGCCGCGGUUAUACGGAGGGGGUUAGCGUUGUUCGGAAUUACUGGGCGUAAAGCGCGCGUAGGCGGAUUAGUCAGUUAGAGGUGAAAUCCCGGGGCUCAACCCCGGAACUGCCUUUAAUACUGCUAGUCUUGAGUUCGAGAGAGGUGAGUGGAAUUCCGAGUGUAGAGGUGAAAUUCGUAGAUAUUCGGAGGAACACCAGUGGCGAAGGCGGCUCACUGGCUCGAUACUGACGCUGAGGUGCGAAAGUGUGGGGAGCAAACAGGAUU
rnacentral:rRNA from 1 species